CAUCCUAAUAUUGAGUAUUGCAGCUCUGAUCAUUUGUAUUCCUAUAAGUACAUCAAGAGUAUAAUAAACUGCAGUGAUGCUAAGAAAUAAUAAUAAUGAUAAUGGCAUCAAUGUGUUCAAUUGAGGAUCAAGCCACAUUCCUGGGUGUUUAAAGAAUUUGGCAGAUGCCACUGGAAUACCAGCUGUUGAGGAAAUAACUUUCUGAAGACACUGAGGAGUGUCUGAAUAAUCAAAAGAUGUCCACAGCAGCAUAUCCUCACCCACAUGCCAUUCCAUCACCUUGUUAUUGCUUGUCAAAAAAGCAUUAGAUGGCAGUAAUAAGAAAUAUCAUCUAUGCCAGUCAAGCCUCAAGCUACUGCGAGCCCUCGCUGAUUGUUUGUCAUGUGGCUGAUUUAACUCACCGAUGAACUGUUGUCUCCUGGUGUGUUUGUGACAGAGGCUGAAUUAAUUUUCCUUUGAAACUGAGCGAGGAGAUUCCGAAGAGUUCAGUCGCUUACAUGAUUCUGUGCAAAACAAGGGGAGUGCUGAGUGCCAGACAGAAAAGAUGGCAAAGCAAGGAGAGCUGGAAGACUGUCUGAAUCACUGAGAAUCUUUAAUGAAUCUAUUAAAUACAUUCAUGUUCGGCAAAACUAAUACUAAUGCACUAGUGUUCUGUAAUAGUUUAAGAGAGAGAUGGGGGAGUAAAUGAGGGAGGAAGGGGAAUAAAUGAGAGAGUAACACUGAUUUUGAUCUGAAAUGUACCGUGCAUCAGCUAGCUAGGCAUUUAAAACAGACUUGAGCUAUGUAUAAUAGGAAAGGGUCCUGGCUUGAACAAUGGACUGCACGCUCACUGAAGUGGCAGACAAAGACUAGCCCCCCUCCCCCUUCCUCUUCCUCCCUGGCCCAGCGUGAGGCUGGCUUUGAUCUGCAGUCCACUCCAGAGCUGUGUGCGUCAGCUCUGACGUCAAUCCAGCCUGAGAUGGGCUCCUGCAGUAGGUAGACGGGGCUGUGGGUGAGCUGAGCAGUGGGCUGAAUGAACAAACAAGUAGAAAAUCAACACGGUCUGAUAACCGGGUGCCCCCCCUCCCCGUUAUUUAUUUAGUUUGUAUAAAGAUAUUUAUGCAGCCUCUUCGGACAUGCAAUGCAUACCGUACAAGAGGUCCUUUCCAAAUUCAAUUUUUGUUUAGAAGAGCCCCUGUUCCGUGUAGGAGGAAGGAUAUACAUACAAAAAGAGAAGGUGCAGACCAAAUGGUCUAUGAAACACAGAGCAGCUGUACAUGGAACUGUAAGGAUAUCGCUACAAGGGAAUUCACUGGAGCUCUGACAUAUCCCAUAUGAAGCUCUAGCUUUCCGUCCAUUUCCCCAGAUUCAGAUCUCAGAUUAAACCUGUUUUAAGUCAAGUCUGAAUUUCAGAAAGUGCUGGUUUUCCUGGAGUUGCAGUAAUGGCAAUGGAUAGCUUAGUGUGUCUCCUUAAAGUACCUGUACAGAAUAACAACAGUGCUGAGAAUGAAGAGAAGGGUUGCAGAGUGACAGUGACUGAGGGUUGAGAAUGGAGUGUUUUAAAGCUCAUUGUUAAGGUGCAGAGUGACAGUGCUGGAAAGCUGAGAAUGGAGUGUUUUAUUGUAUCAUUAUUAAUGUGCAGGGUUGACUGCGUUGCAGAACAGAGAAAUAGGGGGUUGUAUUAAUAGUGCUGUGUGUUUCUUAAAACUGUAUUUUAUUGUUGUUUUAUAGUUUUUUUCCCAUGAGAGGAACACAUCUUGUUUUCCUUGGUGCAUUAGGAUCUGAAUGAAUCUAGUUACUAUUCCCAGCCUGACGGAAGCACUGGCCCCCUGACCAGAUGAGCCAAAGGGGAUUUCACUGGUGUAUUGAAAUUGGUAGCACACUUUGCAAAAAAAAAAACAUUUGAAGGAAAGCAAGUGCAAAGUGAACCCCAACAAUGUUAAACCCUAAAAAAUAACCCCACUCUCCUCACUCCUCAAAGCUGUGGAAGUAAAACAACAGCAAACACAUACCGGAGCUACUAGGAGACAGUGGCUGCGAAGGAAGUUGAUCUCCAUGGCGACGGCAGCCCCUGAGUCCUCCGCAGUGCAGUGUGUCCUUGGAGCCGCUAGUGGAUCAGCUUUUAAGUCAUGGUCAAGGUAUUUGGUGAAAUAAAUCAAAAGGCUAUCAUGUCAGACACUGCUACACACAUCUAAGGAUUUGAACUUUACUCCAUGAACUGUUCAAGGAUAAAUCCAAGGCUUUUUACCCCUGGAAGACUUUGCAAGUUUACCAGAACUUAUAAUUAAAAACAAGCAUUCCCUUUGUUGUUCAACCAAUACAAAACCUCCAGCUUUAUUAAACCAACCACUUUAUGUGAUCAAAAGGAAGUUAUAACAACAUGAUCACAUUAGGAGGCUUUCACUGUACUUUAUAUACAAGUAUUUUUUCUCAAAAACAAUAAAGCU